AUGGACAGGAUUGUCACCUCCGGGGUGGAAGAGGGGGCGAGUGGCCGCGUCGACGUCUGGGCGCCGCUCUGGCUGCUGCAGGUCUGGCUGUGGGAGCGCUAUGACCGCCUGCAGCCGCCGGAGCUGAAAGCGCCGGAGUUCCCUCUCUCCAAUGUCCGGGCGCUCUAUUGGUCUCGGAGGAGGAGGAAGACCACAGAAGAGGAUGCUUUGCGUGUUCUGCAGCAAGAGGAUUGUUUUGAGUGGAGGCCUUACCUGCGCAAUUCGCUCGACUGGACUGAACCCGAGUGGUUCAGCAAGGAAACUCUCUUGGUGAGCUCCAGAGGUAAGGAUGAGCCAGAGUGGUUGGAGGAUUACAUUGCGAUUACGAGGCAAGCCGUGUUGACUGGAUCGUAUGGCGAUGAUAUGGAUAGUUCGGCAAUGUACAAUCCCCACAUUGUCGCGAGGCAGCUCGGUUAUGAUCAGGAUGUGCCUUUUCCUCUUGUACAUGGGUUUGAUUCCAAGGGGAUCAAGGUGUGGGUACCUGGUAUCUGUAGACGCGGCGUUGCUAGCAAGGAAUAUGUUGCGUGGUUGAAUGGCGAGUUCGUGACGCACCAGGAAGCUGACCGGUGUGUUAGGCCAGUCGACGAAAACGGUGCUGGCUCAUCUCCACUGAAUGCAGAUACAGCAGCUGAUAAAUCUGGAGCAAGUACCAAGCAAGAUAACAGAAAGUGCAUCAGAGAAGGGAAGCAGCUAGCUCAGGAGGAGCUGAUUGUCCUAGACCGUAGUAGUCCAUGUGAUAUGGACUCCAGUGCAACCGCGGUGAAAAGAAAGAAUGGGAACAGAAAAAGACGAGAUGAACUCUCUGAAAAUGGUGAUAUGCACAAGAAAAGUAAGGUACUUACCAGCGAGUGCCAUGAAGGUCUCCAGCAAUAUGACGACGGACCUUCCCUUGCCAGUUAUCCUGAGAAGAAUUCCUUGCAAUUUGACGGCCAGAAGUACCAUGGUCUCCAAAGAGAUCCUAAUUGUUACAUUAAUAGAUGUGAUGAGCUGCCACAGCCUGAGAGUGACGAUGAAUGCAUUGUUCUUGAACCAACAUGUGAAGUGAUAGACCUCGAGGAUGAUCAGGAAGACGAGGACAGGCAACUUGUCCUGGUGCUACAAGAGUUUGUGCGCUGUGGGCUUUUCUCACAACGGGAGGAAAGCUCUGAUGAAGAUGAAGAUGAAGGAGGUGAAGGAAAGAAAGAGACGCCGAAGAAGAGCAAUAUUGACCCUUAUGCUGAAGCAGCCAUGAGGGAGUACCCUCGGUUCUUUGAGUUCAUUCCCCAGAGACCACAUUACAGAGGGUUGGUGAACACCAGUGACACUAUACGAGAUCUGGCCUGUAGUGGACUGUGGUUCAUGUUGGUUGGCUUGGCUAGGGAAGUGCUCAAGACAUCCUGUGAUACAGAAGCUUUGGAGGUUGCAUAUUUGAUGAGAAAAGCUCGGCAACUGGAACAAAAUGGGUUCAAUGUCAAGCAUCUCAUUGCCCGUCUGAGGGAGCCACAGGCCCGGCUUAGAAGGCUUGAGGAUUCCAGGGCAAGGCUCGAGGAUGCCCGGUCCAAAGAGCAAGAACCAAAAGAUGUUAAGUCACUCUCAAGCCAUCUGAGUAAUCUGAAACACAAUGUACUAACAAUGCAGAGGCACUUGGAGGGAAAAAAGCAGGCUCGUAGUGCAUCUGUGCGUGAUGAGUCGAGCGAAGGAAUCGAUCUAGCCAGCCUGGAGAAGGAAGUAGAAGCUGCAGAAAAAUACUGUCAGGCGAUGAAGGAUGAAGUGGCUGCGAUGAGACUGAAAUACGCUGAUCUUUGA
rnacentral:rRNA from 1 species